rnacentral:rRNA from 1 species
UACGUAGGGGCUAGCGUUAUCCGGAUUUAUUGGGUUUAAAGGGUGCGUAGGCGGCUUAGUAAGUCAGCGGUGAAAUUUUGCAGCUUAACUGUAACAGUGCCGUUGAUACUGCCAGGCUAGGAUUUGGUUGCUGUGGGUGGAAUGUGUGGUGUAGCGGUGAAAUGCUUAGAUAUCACACAGAAUAUCGAUUGCGAAGGCAGCUCACAAAGCCAAGAUUGACGCUGAGGCACGAAAGUGUGGGGAUCAAACAGGAUUAGA